GGUAGCCACUCCGUGGUCUCUUCGGUAACUUGAGCAUCUCGGGUGAGUGGCAGCCGAAUUUGGAAUCCGCACGCAUCUGGUGGUUUCAACGGCAACAGAAUACAUGCUUGAAUCUUUUCAUCUGUCGAUCGUGAUUGCCGCGAUGAAGAGACAUCAGUAUUGUCAUGGCAAACAUACCAGACUGUUUGAACAUCACGUCACCUGACAGUCGCCGCCGAGCAGAUAAACUACCAUGCGUAUGAACAAAACAGAGUGGAGCAAUAGCAAAUUCAUUGCCAAGGAAACACCAUGAGGAUAACUUGAAAGGAGUGCAGAUAUGCACGAGUUCGCAAUAGUGGAAAUCCUUAAGGCUGCUAAGCACUCCUGAGAAUACCAUCAAUCAGCUAUUAGCCCUAUGCUACCACAAUAAAUGGAUGACUGUGUAACUAAGGGUUGCUGCAAAAGCACCGUAGGCAGAAUAAGUUGGCAUCAUACUCUACGCAAGCAUGACCAUCCUUUCUGUGAAGGGGUUCAAUGAAAAUAGACUGCCAUGGAUGUGUGGAAACCUGUUGGUGAGCUCGUUGGCCCGCUUUGUCAUCUGCAUUCUUGCUCAGAUACAUCUCCGAGAACUAAGCAGUGCCAUGAAAGUCCAGUACUUCACUGAAGAUCCUGUCUUUGCAAAGAAUCCUGGCGGUUCUCGAAGGUGCAUCGGGCUCAAUUUAUACAAGCAUUUCGGAGGCUGACUGACGAGGAGUGCGUGGAGGUGUUUCCUAGUCAUCGGGAGAGGUGGCGUGUCCGGACUGUGGUUGGGGCCUUGGAGGCUUAUCCAACGCAGACCAUCCGUGGCAUGGCUAGGCUCAUUGGCAUGUCUAAGACCCGUGUAUAUGAGACACUGAGAGACGCUUUUUCCAAGCUGGAAAAUUAUUGUCUUAAUUGAGGGGUUGCUAUUGUUGCCAAAAAUGUAAAUAAAAGAUGCAGAG